rnacentral:lncRNA from 1 species
CCAGAGAUUCGUUUAUCAGAAAAUGGUCGAACAGAUGGCCACUUAGAGAAACCAGUGCUCUGUAAUGGUAAUUCGGAAGACGACCAUUGUCAACCGGAGAAGAAGCUCUCACUCUCACACGAGGUAUGUAUUCGUACAACGCUGUGAGUUUUCCUUUAUGUGCUAUGCAUGCUCUUCUCAGGUGUUGGGGUAAAUCUCCCAGGUCGUUUCUUAUUGUAGCCAAGCUACCGAUGAAGUUUGACAGUAUAUCACCGAAAUGCUGUGUUGCCUGCAGAUCAAAGCGAGCAAUGGUUGAGAACUGAGAAGAGAGAAAUGGAUACAUAACUAAUUUUAUCAACCUCUCUGGAAAAUUCGGUCGGAAGAAUGUCGACGGAGAGACAGAUAAUGCCAUCGCCUUC